GACGAACGCUGGCGGCGUGCCUAACACAUGCAAGUCGAACGGAAAGGCCCUGCUUUUGUGGGGUGCUCGAGUGGCGAACGGGUGAGUAACACGUGAGUAACCUGCCCUUGACUUUGGGAUAACUUCAGGAAACUGGGGCUAAUACCGGAUAGGAGCUCCUGCUGCAUGGGGGUCGUUGGAAAGUUUCGGCGGUUGGGGAUGGACUCGCGGCUUAACAGCUUGUUGGGUGAGUAGUUGCUUACCCAGGGUUUGACGGCUAGCCCGCCUGGGAGGGGGGACGGGCACCAGAGGCCUGAGGGAGGGAGCAGUCGGCAACGUGAGGCAGUAGGGGGAAAUCUUACACAACGGGGCGGAGUGUGAGGCGAAGACGCCCGGAUCGGGAAGACCGCCUUCGGGUGGUAAACCGCUGUCGCCUGUGACGAAGCGUGAGUGACGGUAAUGGGUAAAGAAGCACCGGCUAACUACGUG
rnacentral:rRNA from 1 species